UUUUUUUUUUUUAAACUUGUAGGGGCGCCUUUAGCCAGUUUUUUUUUUGCUGUGUUAGUACUUGAGUUGCCCAGAAACUUUUGCUGUAUGGAGUCAUGUGAUUUCUGAUGACAGCCCUGUUAGCAAGUAGUUAGUAUGAUUAAUACAGCAGUACAGGUUCUCCAGUGGACACUUUCCACUGGCACACAGAACUGUAUUCAAAUGGGAACAGCACCACCAAUUUUCUUCAGAUUAAAAAGUCUUUAAUGCACACGUUAGGUCAUUACAGCAAUGUUUCAGUGCCUGCCUGGCCCUUUAUCAAGCAUGAUAAAGGCAAAGGCGGCUUAUAGAAUAAGUUGGUAAAGGGCCAAUCUGUGGCUGAAACGUUGCUGUAAUGACCUAAAAGUGUGUAUUAAUCACAAUUUAAUACAAAGAAAAUGUGUGGUUCUGUUCCAAUUUGAAUCCACAUACAGCAGAAUGACCACAUAUGAGGAUGAAAGGGUUUGCAUUUAUAAUUUGGAUUUAGCAACACCACUAAAUUUGAAUGUGUUUAGUAUUCUGUUGUAGAAGUAAAACAAGAAUGACAUAAUUUUAAUACUCAAUAUGUAAAUGAAAAUGAUGUUGCCAUGUGUUAAUUUUACUAGGUUUUACAUAUACAUUAAAUAUGGAUACAUUCCAUGAAAUGGAUCAUUAGUUUACAGACAAGUUUCUAUUAUAAGAUCCUAUGUCUUCUACAUACCCUGCAUGUAGGUCUGUGAUAAUUCAAUGUAAAUUCAUGCAUGAUACAUUUGCCUCUCUAUUUUCUAUUCCAUGUGCAUUCUCUGAUGUUUGAUAAGAUUUGAAUACCUUGUGAAAUAUUUCCCGCACUCGCAGCAAAGAAAUGGUUUCUCUCCCGUGUGACUUCUCUGGUGGAUGACAAGUGUGCAGGAAAACCCAUGAUCUGCGAUCAACACCCAUCUUUCUGACACUGGGUACAAUAUUACACUCCUAAAUGCCUUGUUAAAAUGCUUCCUGAUUCCAUGAUGCCAUGCACAGAAUCAAGGCACCCAGUUCUAUGGGCAGCAAAGCAACACCAAAACUGUGGCAAAACUCAGGCCAUUCUCCCAGAUUCAUUUUGACAUUCUCAGAUCGUAGGUCCCGGAGAACCGUAACCCUAACCCCGGAGAAGCAGAUAUUACUAUCGCCCACAAGACACUAACCUGACGAAUGUCACUGCAGGAGUGAGUACCAGUGGGGGGUUCACCGGAGCACCCCAGACAGUGCUUGUUGGGUCCAGCUAGGCAGAUUUUUCCAUAUAGAAGAGGGUGCUCUCAUACUGGGCACACAACAGCAGCCACAUGACCUACAAUCAUAAAGCCUGGCUGAACCAUGAGUCCUAGGGCCAACUGUGUCCACCCAAGCUGCCCAGGAAUACACUGAAAGCCAAGUAAUACAAACGGUAAACAAAUCUAAAGAGCAAUAUGUCUGUGAUUGAAGGAAUGAUAUAUCAAACUCCAAGAAACUCACCAUCUACCAAUCACAAGGGAGGGAAUACAGACUGACCUAAUACCUGAAAAGGCUACAGAACAUCAAAGAGACAGAUCUUGAGCAGUGCAGUACAGUGUACUCAGCCUGGAAACAGAACUGGAAAGGCACCGACAGACUUGCGGGCCCAGGGAGAGCAAACUGUACCAGUGAUGUGACCAGGAGGCAGUGGAGGAUGAGGCUCACUUUUUACUACAGGGCCCCAAAAACUUAGCACUAAGGGACACUUACUCCCAGGGAUUCUCCCAUCAGACUUCACAUCCAUAGAAGAAGAGAGGAAACUCCACACCCUACUGGGAGAAGAGGCACAGUAACAAUGGCUGCAUAAUAUUUAAAAGACCGAGAUAGACAGGACUUUCCCCUAUCCCCACAUACUGUCCGUAAAACUCCCCUCUACCCAGGGCUGGACUGGCGAUCUGGCUCUUCAGGCAAAUGCCCAAGGGGCCACUCCAUUUAAUGCUAAGUGGGCUGCCAAGGAGAAGCCACUGACUUUCCACUGGCCUUUAAAAAUGAAAAAAAAAAAAAAAAAAUUUUUUUUCUUUUAACUUUUAUGGUGGUGGGGGGCCCUGGUCACCAAUGUUUUGUUUUUUGUUUGUUUUUU